GUGAGCGUAGCUCAAUCUGGCAGAGCGCCGGACUGUGGAUCCGGUUGUUGGGGGUUCAAUUCCCCUCGCUCACCCCA
rnacentral:tRNA from 1 species